rnacentral:rRNA from 1 species
GAUGAACGCUGGCGGCGUGCCUAAUACAUGCAAGUCGAGCGAACGGACGAGAAGCUUGCUUCUCUGAUGUUAGCGGCGGACGGGUGAGUAACACGUGGAUAACCUACCUAUAAGACUGGGAUAAUUUCGGGAAACCGGAGCUAAUACCGGAUAAUAUUUUGAACCGCAUGGUUCAAAAGUGAAAGACGGUCUUGCUGUCACUUAUAGAUGGAUCCGCGCUGCAUUAGCUAUUUGGUAAGGUAACGGCUUACCAAGGCAACGAUGCAUAGCCGACCUGAGAGGGUGAUCGGCCACCCUGAACCUGGGCCCCGUCCCCACCCCCUAGGGGAGGCAGCGGUAGGAAUCCUUCCGCAUUGGGCGAAGGCCUACCGGAGCACCGCGGCGUGAGUAAUGAGGUCCUUCGGUCCGUAAACCUCUUUUAUUGGGGAAGAACAUAUGUGUAAGUACCUGUCCCCUUCUUAACGGUCCCUAAUAAGAAGGCCCCGCCUACCUCCUU